UACAGAGGGGGGCGAGCGUUGUUCGGAAUUACUGGGCGUAAAGGGCGCGUAGGCGGCCAACUAAGUCAGACGUGAAAUCCCUCGGCUCAACCGGGGAACUGCGUCUGAUACUGGAUGGCUUGAAUUCGGGAGAGGGAUGCGGAAUUCCAGGUGUAGCGGUGAAAUGCGUAGAUAUUCGGAAGAACACCAGUGGCGAAGGCGACUCACUGGACACAUAUUGACGCUGAGGUGCGAAAGCGUGGGGAGCAAACAGG
rnacentral:rRNA from 1 species